AUUGAACGCUGGCGGCAUGCUUUACACAUGCAAGUCGGACGGGAGCUCGUGCUUCGGCCUGGCGGCGAGUGGGGAACGGGUGAGUAAUUCAUCUGAACGUGCCCAGUAGUGGGGGAUAGCGCUGCUAAAGCCGGAUUAAUAGCGCAUACGACGGGGGGGUGAAAGCGGGGGGGCGAAAGCCCUCGCGCUAUUGGAUCGUCCGAUGUCAGAUUAGCUAGGUGGUGGGGUAAAGGUUGACCAAGGCGACGAUCCGUAGCUGGUCUGAGGGGACGACAGGCCACACUGCGAGUGAGACACGGCCCAGACUCCGACGGGAGGCAGGAGUGGGGAACUACGGACAAUGGGGGCAACCAUGAUCCAGCAAUGCGGGGUGGGGUAACAAGGCCUUGGGGUUGGAAACUGGUUUUGUUAGGGAAGAAAUACUUUUGGCUACUAAGCAGGGGCGAUGACGGUACCGGAAGAAUAAGCACCGGCUAACUCUGUG
rnacentral:rRNA from 1 species